GAUCCUGGCUCAGGAUGAACGCUAGCUACAGGCUUAACACAUGCAAGUCGAGGGGCAGCAUGAACUUAGCUUGCUAAGUUUGAUGGCGACCGGCGCACGGGUGAGUAACACGUAUCCAACCUGCCGAUGACUCGGGGAUAGCCUUUCGAAAGAAAGAUUAAUACCCGAUGGCAUAGUUCUUCCGCAUGGUAGAACUAUUAAAGAACUUCGGUCAUCGAUGGGGAUGCGUUCCAUUAGGUUUGG
rnacentral:rRNA from 1 species